AAGCAAAGACAUUUGAUGCAGUUGGAUGGAGAAACAGAAACUGUUUUCUCCCCCUGCCCACCAUUCUUACUGUUUCACAUACCAGUCUGGGAAAAGUCUCAAGAGGAUUUUAGGUGUAUUUUCGGGGAUCCCAGGUGGGAUUUGAGGGGAUCUGGGUGGGGUUUGUGGGGUGUGGUGGGGGCCCAGGUGAGUUUAGGGGUAAAUUGGUGGAAUUUGGGGGGGUCCAAGGUGGGAGUUGAGGGGGAAUUGCAGGGAUUUUGGGGUGUCCCAGGUGGGAUUUGGGGGUUCUGGUUGGGCUUAGAGGGAGACAUGAGGGAUUUGGAAUCGUCCCUGUGGGGUUUUGGGGUGUCCCAGGUGGGUUUGGAGGAUCUCAGGUGGGGGAUCUGGGAGGCCUGCAUGGAUCUUGGGGUGAAUUUGGGGCGUUUUGGGACGUCCCAGGUGGGAUUUGAGAGGUCCACAUGGAUUUUGGCUGAAUUUAGAACAUUUUGGGGAGUCUCAGGUGAAUUUUGAGAAGCCUUUAGUAGAGUUUCGGCAAAUGACUUGAACUAACUUGACUCUAACACUGCCCGACUUAUGAAUCUGCCCAGCCUUCUGUAGUGUGGUAGAGGUACAGUUGCACUAAAUGAGUUUGGAGGGAUUAUGAAAAUUUUUAUUCAAACCUAUUCAGAAAACUAUGUCAGUUUACUCAACGAGAUGAAUAACAUCUAGCACUUACCUUUACAAUGAAACCAUUCUCUACUAAUGUUGAGGUUCAGAGAAAAGCCUGGACUGGCUUUAUUUUUGGAGGUAAUUUUUUUUUUUUUAAUUUGAGAAAGAGGACCAUCUAGGGGUUAAUGCCGAAAUUAUCAUCUUGUUCGCAAUCAUUAUUGAGCAGGGAAUGAACCCCCCAUGCUAUAAAUGAAAGCAUAUCUUGAAAUCUGACCAUGUACACAAGAUCAGCCAAACUACACAUAAACCCGUCUUUCUUGAGUUAGGCUGGAUAUCCAGGUGUUUAUCAACAGCACAAUUUCCAGUUAGCCCAGUCUCCCAGUUAGCACAUGCUUAUUGGGACAACUUGAUAACAGCAGGGCAACUCAAGCAUAGGCUACAGCUCAGGACUUCAGCCACUCUCCACAAGCCUUUCCGUAGCACACUGUGGAGGCUUUGCACCAGAGCUGGAGCUUGGAUGGAAAAAUACAAGUCAGCCUUGGCAUGGUUACAGCCACCUUUAAAACUAUUCUGUUGAUGGAAGAGGAAGGAUGUCUUCUUGCACUUUUGCUAUUCUUCUUCCAUGAUAGAAAGCUACUGGGCAGCCUUCUGAGAUUUCAGAUGCGCAGAUUCCAAACAGAGCUGGAUAUUUUAGGUAGAGUAAUGUAGUUAGAGCAGGGAAGAUUAAAGCUCAAGAAAAAGAAUCAAGGUUGGAAAUACUUUUGUAUAUCUCUCAGGGAUCUAGCACUUUGACAUUAUUUUCAGAAUGCCAACAUUAGGCCAGCAUAUGCCAGCUUCUGGCACUGGAAUGCAGCAGAAUUUGUAUACAGAGUAGUUGCACUGCCGGCAUGCAGGAUGGAAAUCAGAGCUGCUACAUGCCAUUUGCACGUUUCAUGUACAGUCGCUUUGCCAGGCAAGUCAAAGCGCUCUUUGAACACCGGGCACUUCAAGCAGCAGUUGGGUCUCCAGGCCGUUGAGGACAGGUCAGCAUGCAAGUCUGAACUUUGUCAGGCAAGUCAAAGUGCUCUUUGAACACCGGGUACUUCAAGCAGCAGUUGGGUCUCCAGGCCGUUGCUUUGCCAGGCAAGUCAAAGCGCUCUUUGAACACCGGGCACUUCAAGCAGCAGUUGGGUCUCCAGGCCGUUGAGGACAGGUCAGCAUGCAAGUCUGACAUUUUCUGGUAAGGCAGGCUGCAGGACCAGAUACCGGAGAUCUGCCUACUGGAGAAAGCCCUAAUUAAAUUAAAUUUUGACUUUGUAAAAGCUCCUAAGGUAUAAAACUCAAAAUACUGGUGGGCUGCACCUGAAAAUAAAAGUAGUAUCGAUUAGAAUUUUGACUGGAGGAAGUGAAAAACCAGAAUGUUGUUCAUUCUGGUUAUUACAGAGGGGCAGGUGCAGAUGAGGGUGGCCUUUUACAUGCACACAACCAAAGACAGAUGUCAUACAAGAGUCUUAAACUAAAGCACAGGUUUAGCCCUACUGCACGGCUGAGUUUUUUCACCUGAUGCAAGGCUUUCUUCUACCAUUUCCAGCCCAUUUUUCCAACACAGCAAUUCUCUGGAAGAACAUAGUUUUUCCCACUGGUCUGGGUUACCUAUUGCUGCUCAAGCACAUCUCAAAUACUUCUGAGAAUACUCAGUGAAGGUGAGGAUACUGCAGUAGGGUGACAGUUUUUACAAAAGUGUGCUUUAUGGCUUCAGUAUGCCAUAUUUAUUAACUGUAUGCCUGUGAGACCCUGGUUUUAAUCCCUGAGAUUUAUACAGGUUAUUUAUCCACUCAUAAAUAAUCUGUAAUGAUUCACAUACAGCUAGACAGAUGAACUGAAAUACAGUAAAAGGCAAGCAAGGGGAUCUCUAAUUGCUAUUCAUAACCAGGUCUUGAAACUAGUACAUUUAAUUUGCUUGAAGCUGCGAUCAAGUUAGAGAUGAUGUUCUUUUCUGGCACUGUAGUUGGCAAGUUAUACAUUAGUCAUGGAAGUCAAGAGUACAAAAGUCUCAUUCUCAAAAUAUCCCUUAAACCCUGAUGUCUAAUAUUAGUGAAUGAGAUUUACUCUGGCCUCAGUUCUAGGAUGAUCUGAAAUUGAAAAGGUUUUGAAAUCUGAAAUUUAAGUUUUCAAUAUCUGAAAUUUAGCAAUUAAGCAACAACAUCUCUUACCUUCACUUAUGUUUUAAACCUAUUUUAACUGCUUCUACUUCUUUUGGUUGCUGGAGGUCCAUGUCUGCUUUGCCCACCUUUCUUCAGUCAGGUGUGACUAGAAAGCCCUCACAACCAGGACUUUCACAGGUCUAUUGCCACAAGUGACUGCUCAAGAGCAAUGGGAAGGAAUCAGUCAGGUCAAAGGACCUCAGGACAACUGUCCUCAGGAGGGGCAAUAGCAGGAUCAGCACAUCUCCAGCAGGAUCAGCACAUCUCCAGCAGGAUGCUGCCUGCCUCUGCGCAGACACCGUAGUUUGGUGCAAUGUGCUGGCACAGACAGGAUUUGUGCCAGACCUUAGUGACAAAUGUGACAUCGAGACCUGCAGCCCCCUCUGAGUAGGACAGCCAGGGGAGAGCUCUUUGCAUUGACACAGCCCCACACAGGCCCUGCCAAUUCACAUGGACAUUGUGGAAGGCUGCCAAGAGAACAAUGAGGGUGCUGGCCACCACCUUUAUUUUAAUUGCUGCACAGUGCAUGCCAAGCUGUGCACUUGGAGGUUGUUUCCAUUCCCUCUGCAGUUGCCAGAACUAUUCAUUGUUGUUUCAAUAUAAGGAAAACAAAGUCACAUCUUCUUGUUUUAUAAAAGGAGCUUUGUUGCUUCCCAGACACCCAGUCUCAUUUGUCUGUAAACUGUAGGAUAAAUUCCACUGAUGCCCACUGGAUUAACUGUGCAGUGAGAAUUAGAAGUAUAAAACUAUUUUAAAUGCAUGAAGAUUCAAAGUAAGCAGAAGAACUGCCACAAUGACCAGUAUACUCAGCUAAACCUGCAGACUCAUACUUGGGGUUUGUGUCUGAAGAUCCACUGUUCCUCUCAUCCAUGGCCAACCUUGUCUUCCUCGGUUGUCUCAGCACAACUGUUGCAGGAUUAUGCAAGUGGAGUGGAUCUGAGGCUUUAACCUUCAUGUUUUAACUCAAAUCAGUUUGCUGAUCUGGCUCAUCCCAGUGCCCCACUGACACUGGUAACAGAGCAGCCAAGGUAACAAAAAACAGUGGCUGGGAGAAAAGAAGAGUGAUGGACCUGCUUUGCCAGUGGGAAGAAGUUUCACGGGAUGAUGACGAGAGAGCAAAAUAUACAACAAAAUCUUGCAGAGAGACAUAGGAUUAGCAAAAAUAUAUCAGAGCCAAAAAUUCUUCACAUUAGCAGUAAUAUAAGUUUUCUGAGAGAGGUGCUAUUGAUAUCCUGGGGUCAUAUCCCUGAAUAUCCCUGAUCUUCCUCAACCUUCCCAGGAGGUUUCUUAGGGUUUAGCUCUGCAUCCUCAAUCCACAGAAGUUGUCCAAACUGUGGCCUCAAGCUUUUGCCCCAUCAUCCCAUUACUGCCCCAACAGUACCUUUUGCAGCUGCUUGGGAAUGAGUUAAACAACUCCCCUGUAUUGCCCAUAGUGCAGUGAAAGGUUUAAUCAAUGAUGGUAGCAAAGGGUAAGCAGAGGUUUUGUGCCAUGGCCAAGGGCCUUCCUUUCCCCAUGGGAGAAAGAAAAGCUUCCUUGCAAAGUGCCAGGACUAGAAACUUUCUUAGACCAUUGCACACUGGCAUUCAUAAAACUACUGUAGUGCUGAUCCAGACCUUGGAUCACAGAAAAGAAAUAUCCCAUUGACAUAAGAGGACUGAAGUUUAGCAUAAAGAGAAAAAAAAAAAAAAAAAGAGAAGGGGGGGGGGGGGGGGGGGGGGGGGGGGGGGGGGGGGGGGGGGGGGGGGGGGGGGGGGGGGGGGGGGGGGGGGGGGGGGGGGGGGGGGGGGGGGGGGGGGGGGGGGGGGG
ensembl:lncRNA